CCCUUAGACGUUCUGGGCCGCACGCGCGCUACACUGACCAGUGCAACAAGCAUCCGUCCUUGGCCGACAGGCUCGGGCAAUCUUUGAACGCUGGUCGUGAUGGGGAUAGACUUUUGCAAUUUUUGGUCUUCAACGAGGAAUUCCUAGUAAACGCAAGUCAUCAACUUGCAUUGAUUACGUCCCUGCCCUUUGUACACACCGCCCGUCGCACCUACCGAUUGAAUGGUCCGGUGAAAUGUUCGGAUCGCGGCAAAUCGGACGGGUAACCGUCAGGUUCGCUGCGAGAAGUUCAUUAAACCUUAUCAUUUAGAGGAAGGAGAAGUCGUANCA
rnacentral:rRNA from 1 species